rnacentral:rRNA from 1 species
UACGUAGGGACCAAGCGUUGUUCGGAUUUACUGGGCGUAAAGGGUGCGUAGGCGGCGCGGUAAGUCGGGUGUGAAAUCUCGGAGCUUAACUCCGAAACUGCAUUCGAUACUGCCGUGCUUGAGGACUGGAGAGGAGACUGGAAUUUACGGUGUAGCGGUGAAAUGCGUAGAUAUCGUAAGGAAGACCAGUGGCGAAGGCGGGUCUCUGGACAGUUCCUGACGCUGAGGCACGAAGGCCAGGGAGCAAACGGG